UCCGUAGGUGAACCUGCGGAAGGAUCAUUAAUGAUUGACCGUCUGUCGAGCUUGCUCACAGGCACAUCAUAUCCAUAACACCUGUGCACUUGUCGGAUGGCUUAGUGAAGACCGCAAGGUUGAAUCUAUCCAUCUACUUUACAUAACAAUUCUGUAACAAAUGUAGUCUUAUUAUAACAUAAUAAAACUUUCAACAACGGAUCUCUUGGCUCUCGCAUCGAUGAAGAACGCAGCGAAAUGCGAUAAGUAAUGUGAAUUGCAGAAUUCAGUGAAUCAUCGAAUCUUUGAACGCACCUUGCGCUCCUUGGUAUUCCGAGGAGCAUGCCUGUUUGAGUGUCAUGAAAACCCUCAACCCUAGAUUGGUUAAAACCUUUCUUUGGUUUGGAUUUGGACGUUUGCCGAUGAUAAGUCGGCUCGUCUUAAAAGUAAUAGCUGGAUCUGUCUCGCGACAUGGUUUGACUUGGCGUAAUAAGUAUUUCGCUAAGGACAUCUUCGGAUGGCCGCGUUGCAGGACUAAAGACCGCUUUCUAAUCCAUUGAUCUUCGGAUUAAUACUCUUGACAUCUGGCCU
rnacentral:rRNA from 1 species